rnacentral:rRNA from 1 species
GACGGAGGAUGCAAGCGUUAUCCGGAAUUAUUGGGCGUAAAGCGUCCGCAGGUGGUUCAUCAAGUCUGCUGUCAAAAUGCGAGGCUCAACUUCGUACAGGCAGUGGAAACUGAUGAACUAGAGGAUGGUAGGGGUAGAGGGAAUUCCCGGUGUAGCGGUGAAAUGCGUAGAUAUCGGGAAGAACACCAGUGGCGAAAGCGCUCUACUGGGCCAUGACUGACACUGAGGGACGAAAGCUAGGGGAGCGAAAGGGAUUAGAAACCCUUUAGUCC